rnacentral:rRNA from 1 species
CUGCAUGGCUGUCGUCAGCUCGUGUUGUGAAAUGUUGGGUUAAGUCCCGCAACGAGCGCAACCCUUAUCCUUUGUUGCCAGCGGUCCGGCCGGGAACUCAAAGGAGACUGCCAGUGAUAAACUGGAGGAAGGUGGGGAUGACGUCAAGUCAUCAUGGCCCUUACGACCAGGGCUACACACGUGCUACAAUGGCGCAUACAAAGAGAAGCGACCUCGCGAGAGCAAGCGGACCUCAUAAAGUGCGUCGUAGUCCGGAUUGGAGUCUGCAACUCGACUCCAUGAAGUCGGAAUCGCUAGUAAUCGUGGAUCAGAAUGCCACGGUGAAUACGUUCCCGGGCCUUGUACACACCGCCCGUCACACCAUGGGAGUGGGUUGCAAAAGAAGUAGGUAGCUUAACCUUCGGGAGGGCGCUUACCACUUUGUGAUUCAUGACUGGGGUGAAGUCGUAACAAGGUAACCGUAGGGGAACCUGCGGUUGGAUCACCUCCUUACCUGAAAGAAGC